rnacentral:rRNA from 1 species
AUGAAGAACAAAAGCGGUCGUCGCAGACGCAAUCUAAAUGCAACGCAAAAAGCAACUUGCGACGAAGCCGCUGCAAGCAAUGUAAUCGAAGACAGGUUUAGCAAUCUGCCCAAUGACCUUCUGCUCAACAUUCUGGAGAGGGUGGACACACUCGAUGCCAUAAGGACCUGCAUUCUCUCCAAGCAAUUGCUGAAGCUUCCUACCAUGCUCUCACGCUUCUACCUAACUUUCAGCCGCAAGCAAGUGUUCAGAACCAACCGUGCUGUGGCUCAUGUAGCGGAUAACAUCUUGGGCACAAGGAGCCCGAAGGUUACCAUCAGCGAACUCAAAAUCAGAUUUGUCUUAUUGCUUGAUGUCUCCCUAACCAUUGGAAGAUCUGUUGCCCGUGCCAUGGCAACCCAGAAGGUUGGCGCAGCUGAGUUUGAGAUUGUAACGAAGAAGCAUCAUGGCCUCUGCUCUUCUGCUGACCUCCUCCAGUUUGCGAAGCAGUUCAAUGAUUUAUUUGGUGCUUGUCCGCGUGCAUUUGCUGGCCUUACGAGCCUGUGGCUGCAAAAUAUGAGGUUUGGUGAACUAGACAUUCCCAACAUCCUCAGCACUUGCAAGCGCUUGGAGUAUUUGCGUUUGACCCGUUGUGACUCAGGGUUCCAUUCUGUGCUGCAAGUAGAACAUGAUCAACUUGUUGAGAUUGAGGUCGACCAGGGGAAAUUUCAGAGAGUUGAGCUGAUAUGUCUACCAAAACUCCAACGGUUGACCUAUGAUAAUUGGUUCUCUUCUGAGUAUCCGUUGUAUUUUGGUUUUGUACCACAGCUUUCAAAGCUGAGCCUUAUUAAAACUGGCAUCCGUUCGGACAAGACUCUCGAGUUAAGUCAGCUCCUUGCUAAUGUUCCUUCCAUAGGCGAUCUGCAUCUGGAUUUUGGAAGUGAAAAGAUUUGGAUUCUACGAGAAUGCCCAAAACUACUCACGCCUGUGCUCAACAAACUACAGCAUGUGAAUCUGGACCAUCUUCCUGAAGGAUGUGAUUUAGCUUGGACAAUGUUUAUUCUUGAAGCUGCACCCUCCCUAAAAGAGCUGUGCAUCACAGUGUGGGAUCAUUGGUGCAUAAUGAUAACAAACAAAGAGUUGCGGAAGAAAUAUUGUUUCUGCGAAAAGGCAGACGUGAAGUGGAAGCCAUAUGCCCCUGAUUUCAAGCACAAGAAUCUGGCUAAGCUCACCAUCUACGGGUUUUCCAACCCGAUGACAAUUUUAUGA